CCCUGGUAUGCUCCACUAUUCAGUGAUGCCGUUGUGCACGGAAACUUUUCAUGGGUCUUUGGUUGCAGAAGUGCCCCCAGGGAGGGCCUUGCUGGUUUCUCGGCUCCUUCCUGCGAUGGAGACCAGUUGGAAUCCCAUGGGUCCGCAAAGAGGAAACAGAGGAAAGGAUACAUCUAGAAGAGGGAAGUACUCACAGAGGUCAUCCCAUAUCCUAAAGGAACUCCUGAAGAAAAUGGAGAUGGCAGCGUAUGGUGGGACUAAAGGGACUGACCAAGAGACUGUGCAGAAGGAGCCAUUGCAGGAAAGCAGCAGUGACACACGGCCAGUCUCUGACAGAAAAACACAGGCAGAACAAGCAGCUGGAUUGCCAGGGGUGGAUGUUGGGAAAAUCACAACGGCCGCUGUUGGCGAAGAGCUGCGAAAACACCACAUCCCAGUGAUUGCUGUGGUCUCCGCUGUGCUGCUGUCCGUGCUGAUGCUGGCCUGUGUUCCUAUGCUGUGGAUGUGGAAAAAAUAUCUGGCACGCAAGACAGAGCGGACAGCUGCAAGACAAGCUGACUGGGAGAGAGAUCAAAAC
rnacentral:lncRNA from 1 species